rnacentral:miRNA from 1 species
CUUCCAGCCGGCGGGGUACAUGUACCUCGCCGGUCGACUGGAAGGGAAUCCUUCCGGUCGACGAGGUACAUGUACCUCGUUGACUGGAAG